rnacentral:miRNA from 1 species
CAACCUUUUGGUUAGCAGAUACAGCACUAACCACUACACUACCAUGGUUUCCAAAGUACAAAUCCUGGAACUGCUGUAAGGAACAACUAAACAAAAAUUAUGAAAGUGUGUGAAGGCCCGCGGCGGGUGUUGACGCGAUGUGAUUUCUGCCCAGUGCUCUGAAUGUCAAAGUGAAGAAAU